rnacentral:rRNA from 1 species
CCCUUAGAUGUUCUGGGCCGCACGCGCGCUACACUGAUGCAUUCAACGAGCCUAUCCUUGACCGACAGGUCCGGGUAAUCUUUGAAUCUGCAUCGUGACGGGGAUAGAUUAUUGCAAUUAUUAAUCUUCAACGAGGAAUGCCUAGUAGGCGCAAGUCAUCAGCUUGCGUCGAUUACGUCCCUGCCCUUUGUACACACCGCCCGUCGCUCCUACCGAUUGGGUGUGCUGGUGAAAUGUUCGGAUCGGCCGUUUGUCGCGGUUUCCGCGGCUCGUGGCUGAGAAGUUCAUUAAACCCUCCACCUAGAGGAAGGAGAAGUCGUAACA